UUGGAAAUGUACCUGUUUGAAAUGAUAGGUUACUAAUAUACAUGAAUGGUCCUGAGCUCUCUUCAAUAACCUUUUUUAUCGUUUCCAUAUCAAUUCCGUUACAAUCAGUUGAAGUCUUAGAUUUACAUUUUUUUCACGAUUGUAACUAUUUCCUCCUGUGUCACAUUACUGAGGAACAUGGAGUUGGGAUUUGCAAUCUGAGGCAGAGAAUGAGGAGCUGCCAGAAAAAAGGAACAGGAAGCCAGUCCAUCGUCUCGGGGACUCGGAUGAUAGCGAAGAAGACCCGGGAAAUGGUGACCUCGCAUCUCUGGGGUUGGCAAGCCAAUUGCACAGGCAGACUCCACCGUCUCGCCGAGUGCCAGCAAGAGUCAUGAGUACUCGUCAACUCAACUCCUCAACUGGAGAUAACUUUCUAGCACCUCACCAUGGGGAAGGACGUAUUCAUUUGCCUUCACCAGCACCUGCAUUAAACAUGCAGAGAGUUACACAAGGAACGGCAGUCCCUCCUCGACUCCCUCCACCCCCCGCACCAGCUCUCUGGAUGAACGCAUUGAUGGUGUCGAUGCAGAGAUUGAGGACCCACAGCAACACAAUGUUGCAAUAAUAAACUUUUCCCCUGAGAAGCAGGAUGCUCCGCGCACUGAGACUGCCAAGGAUCACAGACUCAACGCACUCAAAGACGUGACCCACCAAGGCUGGCCAGAGAACAUCAAGGACAUGCCGAAAGAUCUGCGUGCCUACUGGUCCUUCAGAGAUGAGCUUGCAAUGGAAUCAGGAGUCAUAUUCAAAGGCAGACAGAUACUCAUUCCAGACUUUAUGACUGGUGACAUACUGACACAGCUACAUGUUGGCCACCAAGGCAUCGAGAAAACACGUCACCUUGCAAGAGAGAGUGUAUACUGGAUUAAAAUGAAUGAUGACAUUGAGAGUGUGUGCAGGUCAUGCAGGGUGUGUGUGGAACAUCAGGAUGCAAACCCAAAACAACCCCUUCACCCACACCACUUACCGUCAAAACCAUGGCAGUCUCUGGCCUCUGACCUAUUUGAGGUCAAAGGUCGCCAGUUCCUUCUAACUGUAGACAGGUACUCCAAAUACCCAUUAGUGGAUGAGAUGCCUGUGCCGGCGUCUAGCCAUGUGAUCGCACAAAAGCUGCGAUUAUACAUGUCGCUGUUCGGACGGGUGGACGAAAUCCUAACAGACAAUGGGCCUCAGUACACAGGGCAGGCCUUCAAUACAUGUGUAACAGACUGGGGGCAUCAAGCACAUUACAAGCUCGCCCCACUACCCAAAGAGCAACGGGUUCAUUGAAAGGCAUGUGAGACACAUCAAAUCGAUUGUAACAAAAACCCUGGUACAUGGAGGCGACAUUCAGAUGACAUUACUGCAAGUCAGAGCAACACCCAUCGAUAGCAAACUACCAUCACCUGCAGAGCUGAUGUUUGGAAGACCUAUUGCUACCCUGCUACCAAGCAGAGCAGAUCCAGGGAAGGAGGAACGUAGGCUACACCUGGAACAAAGAACAGAGGACAUGAAGGAGCACCACGACCGUGGAUGCCGCAGAGAACUGCCCCCAUUCUGCCCCGGACAGCAUGUGACGGUGGUGAACAAGGACAGAGGAACAUGGCAUCCAACUAUUGUUGUGCAAAAGUGCAACAAGCCAAGAAGCUAUGUUGUACAAACACCAAAUGGCAACCGGAUCAGACGGUGCAGGAGCCACCUGCGUGAGCUACACAACCCACACAUGCAGAGAAGCGUGAACCAGGCCCACAUUGCUGAGCCACAGCACCAAGAGGAGGACACUCACGAGGGUCACCAUGGGCCACCGGACAUGGCCACAACGCCACACUGUAACACACAGUCUCCCAAUAGUCCAGGUCCUAGACACACCAGAUCACAGGCACCCAAUAGCCCAGGACAGAGGCACACAAGAGGUGGUAGGGCUAUACACAGGCCCUCUCACUUCAAGGACUAUGUGUAGUCCAGGUUACGUGGUUUCUUAUUGAAUCAUUGACGUUAUUGUUUUUGCAGACUAGGUGUUUCCAAAAAAAAAAAAAACAGGAACAAGGGAAUUGAUGGACAUUACACUACUUACUGAUGUUUGCACUAAUGUUUGAAAGUGAUAUCGCUCAUGUUGGUUAUCUGAGGAAUGUUAUGUUUUUGUGUUUCUUGCAGAUAAUUUAUUAUAACUAAGUUUACAGGGGAUGUGUUAGAACUAAACAGGGGGGAUGUAGUGAUAUGUGCUGAGAACGGAUAUGACGCGGCGGAUGCACGACGGACCUUUUAUGGUAACACCACUACUGUUAUGCUGGCUAGGUAAACAAC